UACAGAGGGUGCGAGCGUUGUCCGGAAUCACUGGGCGUAAAGGGCGCGUAGGCGGCGCGGUAAGCGUGCGGUGAAAGCCCGGGGCUCAACCCCGGGUCGGCCGUGCGGACUGCCGGGCUGGAGCACUGUAGAGGCAAGUGGAAUUCCGGGUGUAGCGGUGGAAUGCGUAGAGAUCCGGAAGAACACCGGUGGCGAAGGCGGCCUGCUGGGCAGUAGCUGACGCUGAAGCGCGACAGCGUGGGGAGCAAACAGG
rnacentral:rRNA from 1 species